UACGUAGGGGGCGAGCGUUGUCCGGAUUUAUUGGGCGUAAAGAGCGUGUAGGCGGCCAGGUAGGUCUGCUGUGAAAACUCGAGGCUCAACCUCGAGACGUCGGCGGAAACCAUCUGGCUAGAGUCCGGAAGAGGAGAGUGGAAUUCCUGGAUGUAGCGGUGAAAUGCGCAGAUAUCAGGAAGAACACCCGUGGCGAAGGCGGCUCUCUGGGACGGUACUGACGCUGAGACGCGAAAGCGUGGGGAGCGAACAGG
rnacentral:rRNA from 1 species